rnacentral:rRNA from 1 species
GAUGAACGCUGGCGGCGUGCCUAAUACAUGCAAGUCGAACGAUGAAGCCGGAGCUUGCUCCGGUGGAUUAGUGGCGAACGGGUGAGUAACACGUGAGCAGUCUGCCCUUGACUCUGGGAUAACUGCGGGAAACUGUAGCUAAUACCGGAUACGACACCUUGGGGCAUCCCAGGGUGUGGAAAGAAUUUCGGUCAAGGAUGAGCGCGCGGCCUAUCAGCUAGUUGGUGAGGUAAUGGCUCACCAAGGCGACGACGGGUAGCCGGCCUGAGAGGGGGACCGGCCACACUGGAACUGAGACACGGUCCAGACUCCUACGGGAGGCAGCAGUGGGGAAUAUUGCACAAUGGGCGAAAGCCUGAUGCAGCGACGCCGCGUGAGGGAUGAAGGUCUUCGGAUUGUAAACCUCUUUCAGUAGGGACGAAGCGAAAGUGACGGUACCUAAAGAAGAAGCACCGGCUAACUACGUGCCAGCCGCCGCAGUAA